AACGAACGCUGGCGGCAGGCUUAACACAUGCAAGUCGAACGCCCCGCAAGGGGAGUGGCAGACGGGUGAGUAACGCGUGGGAACGUGCCCUUCGCUUCGGAAUAGCCCCGGGAAACUGGGAGUAAUACCGGAUACGCCGUAUUGGGAAAGAUUUAUCGGCGAAGGAUCGGCCCGCGUUAGAUUAGCUAGUUGGCGGUGUAAUGGACCACCAAGGCUACGAUCUAUAGCUGGUCUGAGAGGAUGAUCAGCCACACUGGGACUGAGACACGGCCCAGACUCCUACGGGAGGCAGCAGUGGGGAAUAUUGGACAAUGGGCGAAAGCCUGAUCCAGCAAUGCCGCGUGAGUGAUGAAGGCCUUAGGGUUGUAAAGCUCUUUUACCCGUAGAUGAUAAUGACAGUAUCGGGAGAAUAAGCUCCGGCUAACUCCGUGCCAGCAGCCGCGGUAAU
rnacentral:rRNA from 1 species